GCAGAACUGAUACCACAUUGCAAUUUAUAUUAACAGAUGACACUCCGUCAGACUCAAAGUCGUCAGUGAGCAUUUCUUCCUCCCUUAUUUGUUCCUUCUGAACUUUCUGAUUUGUGUUUUUGUUUUCGGAUGAAAACAACUUCCUUCCUACAGGGGGUUUGGUCGAAUUUGUAACAUUUGAGGGGACCUUGCUAUUGCUGGAUUCUCCAAUCUCCCUCGAAGUCAUCUCCCU
rnacentral:lncRNA from 1 species